GGAGAGGUAGCAUAGUCCGGCCUAAUGCGCACGCCUGGAGAGCGUGUACCGGGAUAGCCUCCUGGUCGUGGGUUCGAAUCCCACCCUCUCCG
rnacentral:tRNA from 1 species